GGAAAAUGCACUGGUGUUUUACUGCUAUGUUUGUUAUUUAACCACAGGACAACUCACAGCUACUGAAAAUAUUCCACUGAAGUCCUAGCAUGCUGCUGGGUCCAACAACAGCCAGCGAUGAAAGGCGCACUCAGCAGGAGGGGCCGUCAAUGCCAGGAUUGUAACGCGGCUUUCCCUCCCUUCCCGAGGUCCGGCUGCAGCCUUCCCGGCACAGAGCUGCCUUUUCAUCAGCCCCGCUAUUUCUGGUGCUUUUUAGCCAUCUCCUCAUGGGACCAUCCUGGCUUCAAAACACCCCUGGGGACACAGGCAGAGUCUGCUCCAGCAGAGCAAAAUGGGAGUGCCGGGCUGACCUGGAAGACGUGGAAAGCUGUGCAUGAGGAAUUACAAGCCAUUACCUUAUUACACGCUUGAAAAAAGUUUUGUCCCAGUGGCAGGACAGCCCCAUGGAGCCACGGCACCAGGCUUGAGGCCAUCCUGAAUUUUGUGCAGCAAGAGCCUGCCAAAUCCCACAAGGACUCCUCAUCCCUGCUCCAUGAAAUCACUGCAGUGUGACCUCAGGAAGGCAGCUCUCACACCACCAGUUGUGUCUGGGAGAAGCAGCUGUGGAGAGGCACUCGGCUGUUGGGAAGCCUCCAUGUCACUGAUAGAGUUUUGGGAUGCAGCAGCUUCAGUCGUGGCUUUCCUUUGGAUCUUCCCAAUCCUGCCGCCCCAGCCUGCAGCCCACUAACACAGAGCAAAGCAGUGAGUCCCAUGUGUUCCUGCUGGCUCCCUCGGCAGCAGCACUGAGGAUGUGGGGCAGGGGAAAACCAGAAGGUCAGCACUGGCCCUUUGGGCUGCUCCACCCUCAGGGUGCUUGGCAGCACCACCAUCAAGGGACAGGCUUCUGCCAGCUGAACCAU